UGGGCGAAGCCUGAUCCAGCCAUGCCGCGUGUGUGAAGAAGGCCUUUUGGUUGUAAAGCACUUUAAGCGAGGAGGAGGCUACCGAGAUUAAUACCCUUGGAUAGUGGACGUUACUCGCAGAAUAAGCACCGGCUAACUCUGUGCCAGCAGCCGCGGUAAUACAGAGGGUGCGAGCGUUAAUCGGAUUUACUGGGCGUAAAGCGUGCGUAGGCGGCUUUUUAAGUCGGAUGUGAAAUCCCUGAGCUUAACUUAGGAAUUGCAUUCGAUACUGGGAAGCUAGAGUAUGGGAGAGGAUGGUAGAAUUCCAGGUGUAGCGGUGAAAUGCGUAGAGAUCUGGAGGAAUACCGAUGGCGAAGGCAGCCAUCUGGCCUAAUACUGACGCUGAGGUACGAAAGCAUGGGGAGCAAACAGGAUUAGAUACCCUGGUAGUCCAUGCCGUAAACGAUGUCUACUAGCCGUUGGGGCCUUUGAGGCUUUAGUGGCGCAGCUAACGCGAUAAGUAGACCGCCUGGGGAGUACGGUCGCAAGACUAAAACUCAAAUGAAUUGACGGGGAAUCGAAUUCCCGCGGCCGCCAUGGCGGCCGGGAGCAUGCGACGUCGGGCCCAAUUCGCCCWWGGGGRNNGCCSNAAUAAA
rnacentral:rRNA from 1 species